CACGCAUCCUCUUCGAACCCUAAUUCUCCGCGCUAAACCUUGUCCAUCUAUAUCUCCACCAACGCCGCUAAACCCUAAAUUAUGCCAAUCAUGGAGCAUAAAUCGAUGGCUUGGCGGAUGUCGGUCAAUGAACGGAAGUUCAUAGAGACCGCACUCGCUUCCGAUCUCCGUGUCGACGGCCGGCGCCCUUUUGACUACCGCCGGUUGAACAUUAAGUUUGGGAGAGAAGAUGGUUGUUCAGAAGUGCAACUAGGUGAGACUCAUGUGAUGGCUUAUGUGACUUCUGAACUAGUGCAACCGUAUCGAGAUAGACCAAAUGAAGGAAUUCUUGCUAUAUUCACUGAUUUUUCACCAAUGGCUGAUCCUUCCUUCGAAGCAGGGCGCCCUGGAGAAUCUGCUAUUGAACUUGGUCGUGUUAUAGAUCGUGGUCUUCGGGAAAGCAGGGCGGUGGAUAUGGAGUCCCUAUGUGUUGUUGCAGGAAAAUUAGUGUGGUCUAUCCAAGUGGAUCUACACAUUAUUGAUAAUGGAGGGAAUCUAGUAGAUGCUGCUAAUGUUGCUGCCUUGGCUGCCCUUUUGACAUUUCAAAGGCCUGAAUGUACAGUAGGAGGAGAUAAUGGCCAAGAUAUUAUUAUUCAUGAUCCCAAGGUUGUGGAACCCCUUCCUUUGGUUAUUCAUCAUCUUCCAAUUUCAGUGACUUUUGCAUUUUAUAACAAGGGAGAUAUCAUGGUUAUUGAUCCAACACAUAAAGAAGAGUCUGUUAUGGGAGGAAAGAUGACUGCUACAAUAAAUUCAAACGGUGAUGUUUGUGCAAUUCAAAAAGCAGGAGGAGAAGGUGUCAUGCCAAGUGUAGUCAUGCAGUGUAUAAGAAUCGCCUCUGUGAAAGCUGCUGAUAUCACUAGUAAACUUAAGAAUGCAGUAGAAGUAUACAACACCGAAAGAGCAUUACGGAAGGUUAAGCGCCAUCCAUCUAAAAUGGCACACCAAGUUAGUGUUGCGGAUAUUACACUGGAGGACAAGCAAGUCAAGGAUUUGCCAAGACAUCAAGCAAAAAUGGCAUGUCAACCAUAUAUAGGCUCUAGUCAAGAUGAUGAACCAAAAGUUGAUACUAGAACAUCUACAAAUGCAGAUGGCAACAGUAGUGGCACACAUGCUGAUGCUUUUGUUGGUGGCCCAUCAAAAUGGGAUCCAUAUCCAUUGAGGGUUGGAACAUCUCAAGUACUUGGUACCCUAACGGUAGUUAAGGAAGAACAAGUAGUAAGCGAUGAUCACAGGGCAGUCGAAUGUAGUCUUGACCAUACAACCACUUCUAGUUCGGGAACUGUUAGUGUUUCAGAUGCUAUGCAGAAAUCUAAUACUUCAAAAAGUUUGAAAGAUGCAGUGAAGUUGAAAAAGAGAAAGAAGAAUAGAUCAUCGACCACUACCAGAUGAAUACAUUCAACAUCUACAGUUGUUUUCAGGUGUCUCUUAGAAUUCUUCCUUCCUGUGACUAUGGAUUUCUGGAUGACCUCUGUUGCAACUGAAUAUUGGCAUUUUGCUGUUGUGAAAGUAAUCGUUCUCUGUGCCAUUCGAUGCUUAUGCCAAUGGCUUCCAUCCAAAUUGAUGAAAGCUCUUUAGGCUGUGAAUGUAGUUGAUUAUCCUGAAGACGAGAGCUCGCUGGAAACUUGGACACCAGACUCGCAGAGAUCUAUUGCAAUUGUAAUGGGUUACAUUCGAACGAAUCACCUGAGUUGAUUGGUCAAAUCAUAUUUUAUUUCAACUGAAUCUAUUAGUUAUGGUUAACUUAUAAUGAUUUCAUACCUAAUGUAAUAUAAUCUGAUUUGUAAUCAAGUUGAAUUUGACUGGGGGCUUAUGCUGGAAA